rnacentral:lncRNA from 1 species
CUGAGGCCCAGGGCGGGGACCAAAAGCCGCGCGCUUGUGACGAUGUCGCUGCGGGGCACGCUAAGGGGCGGAGAGGAAAUUUAGGGCCUGCCUUUUGUACAUUCGGUUAUUCAGCCCAGAAAUAUGUAUUCAACCCCAGGCGCGUGCCUGGCAUUGUGGAAGGCGACACCUACCAGGAUGAGACAACUCUACUCAGACCCAAGCACACCAAGCCAGGAAUGCACAAAGGACGGCUGAUGUUUGAGAUAAGAACUGUCUCAAGGACUUUCUAUAAUAACCACACAAGGAAUUCCUCAUGUAAAGAGGAUUCAGAUCAAACUGAACAUCAG